UACGUAGGGUGCGAGCGUUGUCCGGAAUUAUUGGGCGUAAAGAGCUUGUAGGCGGUUUGUCGCGUCUGCCGUGAAAAUCCGGGGCUCAACCCCGGACUUGCGGUGGGUACGGCAGGACUAGAGUGUGGUAGGGGAGACUGGAAUUCCUGGUGUAGCGGUGAAAUGCGUAGAUAUCUGGAGGAAUACCGGUGGCGAAGGCGGCAUCCUGGACCGACAUUGACGCUGAUGAGCGAAAGCUAGGGAGCAACGGG
rnacentral:rRNA from 1 species